rnacentral:rRNA from 1 species
ACAAGGUUUCCGUAGGUGAACCUGCGGAAGGAUCAUUAAUGAAUUUUGAGAGGGGUUGUUGCUGGCUGUUCUGUUUGGGCAGCAUUGUGCACACUCUGAUCAUCAUCCAUCUCACACCUGUGCACACACUGUAGGUAGGAUUUUGGAAUGAGGUCUUUAUUGGCCUUGCUCUGGGGUCCUCUUAUGUCCUCUCACACACUACUCAGUCUUAAGAAUGUCUAUUGUGUGUAACACAUUUUAUAUACAACUUUCAGCAACGGAUCUCUUGGCUCUCGCAUCGAUGAAGAACGCAGCGAAAUGCGAUAAGUAAUGUGAAUUGCAGAAUUCAGUGAAUCAUCGAAUCUUUGAACGCACCUUGCGCUCCUUGGUAUUCCGAGGAGCAUGCCUGUUUGAGUGUCAUGGAAUUAUCAACUUCAUUCAUUUCUGUGAAUGAAGAUUGGAUUUGGAGGGUUUUUGCUGGAUACUUGUGUUCAGCUCCUCUUGAAUGCAUUAGCUUGAGCCUUUUGUGAAGCAGCUUCAGUGUGAUAAUUGUCUACGCUGUUCUGUGAAGCAAUAUUGUAUGGGCCUCAGCUUCCUAAUCGUCCCUUGGGGGACAAUUCAUCUUGACCUUUGACCUCAGAUCAGGUAGGAUUACCCGCUGAACUUAAGCAUAUCAAUA